rnacentral:rRNA from 1 species
CCUACGGGUGGCAGCAGUGGGGAAUAUUGGACAAUGGGCGAAAGCCUGAUCCAGCCAUGCCGCGUGUGUGAAGAAGGCCUUCGGGUUGUAAAGCACUUUCAGUGGGGAAGAAAGCCUUGGGGCUAAUACCCUCGAGGAAGGACAUCACCCACAGAAGAAGCACCGGCUAACUCCGUGCCAGCAGCCGCGGUAAUACGGAGGGUGCGAGUGUUAAUCGGAAUUACUGGGCGUAAAGCGCGCGUAGGCGGUCUGAUAAGCCGGUUGUGAAAGCCCCGGGCUCAACCUGGGAACGGCAUCCGGAACUGUCAGGCUAGAGUGCAGGAGAGGAAGGUAGAAUUCCCGGUGUAGCGGUGAAAUGCGUAGAGAUCGGGAGGAAUACCAGUGGCGAAGGCGGCCUUCUGGACUGACACUGACGCUGAGGUGCGAAAGCGUGGGUAGCAAACAGGAUUAGAUACCCGAGUAGUC